GUCUCUAGUCAUGUCACCCUGCAGCCCAAGACUGGUUACUCACUGAAGCUAAGCAGGGCUGAGCCUGGUCAGUACCUGGAUGGGAGACCAAAUGGGUUAAACUAGGUUGCUGUUGGAA
rnacentral:rRNA from 1 species